ACACACGGAUAAUAGCCGCAUACGAAUCGAUAGCUGGAUAUCCGGGUGGGGUAAGCACUAAUUGCUCGGUAGCCGAAGCCGAAUGACGGCUCGAUUAGCCUAGAAUCGAUUCUGUUUUCAAGGAUUUGGAUGACUGUGUUCGUCGAUGUAUAAUGCAUACGUAGGUUAUUGAAAGAAGAAUGGGUGCGAGCUCUAAUAUUCGGUAAAUGCAAGCUGUAUGGCUGAAAGAAACGAUUUUCCGAGGAGAAAGGAAACAAGACAAAGCGGCUCCUAAGCCGGCGCCGGCUCCUACACCCAGUACCAGCGCUGUCCAUCAUACCUUGUACUCCCUGUAGAGGGUAGCAUGGCCACCAGCUUCAAUAACCAACACAGGCGCCGGCAGGCCUUAGUACUCCACCAGUUUUUAAGACGAUAUAGAUGAGUUAAUUCGUCAAUGUCACUACUGCCCUAGAUUCGGUAGCUCAGUUGGUACAAUACAGAGAUUGCCAAUGUGAAAAAUGAAAAAUAAUAAAUGCGUAAUAAAAAGUUGUAACUAUUUCGAAACAAUAAUAACAAUGGUAGAUACGUAUUCUAAAUUUAAAAUAGAUUUCUUGUUAACUUUAAAAUAAAACGGAACAACAUUUUACUCGCUAAGUCCGAUACCGACCGAACGGAAUACAUCACUGCAAAAAGAUUGCGACAAACGUACGUUUAUUCACCCCCUAUAUUUACAGAGGGAUUUUGUGAUUUUACCCCGGAUUUCCCAAACACUAUCUGUGUCGCCGACUGUUUAUUUUAUUUUCACUGCCUUGGAAAACGCUCUGUUCUAGUUCUGGAAAAUGUCUAGCUAAAUUGUAGUUUUUAGCAAGUUAAAGUGAUACUAAAAGCAUACAUUUUAUUGUUUAAUUUAUAUUUUGUCCCCUAUAGCUAAUGCUGUCCUUGAGCAAAGGGCAAAGGCACAAUUAACCAAAAGACAUUAUGAAAUAUUUAAGUUGAGAAUAAUUAUAUCUCAUGUUGUGGAAAUAAAAGUUCUUACUAGUAAGUAAGUACUUUUGUUUUCACGACAACACACAACAUUUUGAAGAAUGUAUCUGAUUUAUAUAGAAAUACUUAUACAAAUAACGAUAUAUAAAAGAGCUUGAAAAGGAUAUUAUUAUUGCCAAAAGUUAUCCUAGAAGAAUCAGCAGUCUGACUGCAAGAAAAUCCCGGCUUACGACUCCAAAUCUUUUGUUGUCCUCCUGUUGUGAUUCAAAACUCGAUAGAACUUGUUCGAGUUGACCAAUUGUUUCCGUUUUGCGAGAAUUCCAAUUUUAAAAGCAAUUUAGUUGGAAUCAGAUUUUGUUUGAAUUCAACAUUGUUAUAGUUGAAAGUGAGUUGAAAUAAAUGGUUUUCUCUCAUCCAACAUUUUCCCGGUGUUUUUCCCAGCCGUUGAGCGUCGGAGCCCACAGGGUCCGUAUGAAAUAGAGGUAGAUAAAGGUAAAUGGAGUAAAAAUGGUUAUAUAUAUAAUGAAGGAUAUAUAUAUAAUAUAUAUAAGGCAUAUCUAACUUUAUUUACAUCUACUUAUCUCAGGUUAUAGGAUCGUGACAUGACAUGGCUCACUCAGAAGUCUCUAGUCAUCAGUUUUAUGUGAUUAGAAGUUAAUAGGUUUAGUCCUCAUUACUGAACGCGUUAUGUCACACCUCAUUAUCCUUUAAAUAAGUCAUGUACAAAGUCCAAAGCUAAAGUCUCGUAUAUACUAUGAAUAGUAUACCUAUAUGCUUUUUAGGCAAAAUGUAACAAAGUAGAAGUUUUGUGUGUUGUAUGUAUGGUUAUAUUCAAUGCGUGUACCUACCAAAUUUCAUAACAAUCCGUCCAUUAGAUUUUGUGGAAAAGAGUGACAAUCAUACAUACACAUAUACUUCCUCACAAACUUUUGCAUUUAUGAUAUUAGUAGGAUUAAUGUAAUAAUAUAACAGUGUAAAAAUGAAACUUACAAAUAAGUACACAGGUACACCUACUACUUAUUUAUAUACUUUCAAUAGAAAAAUGGAUCUUAUAACAAUAUUUUACCUAUCCUCAAUACAUUUUCAAUCGUUAAUUUUUUAAAUAGUUUUAAAACUCACCAAACGCUGACUUAAUUGACAAUGACAUCGUACAUGCAAUCCUAUGAUUGGUUUGAAAGUUACUAAGAAAAAAUACCAUUAACUAUGCACCCACAAAGCAAUCAUACAUAUGAUCCGGGUUGACUGUUAAAUAACGCUUUUAGCAUUUACUCCACAUAUUUUAAUUUUACAACAUUUAUUUUGUGCAACAAAGUUUAAAUAUAUAAAUAAUAAAUAUUAAAUAAAUAAAUAUUAGGACAAAUCACACAGAUUGAGCUAACCCCAAAAUAAGUUCGAAACUUGUGUUACGGUAUACUAACUCAACGAUACUAUAUUUUAUAACAAAUACAUAUAUAGAAAAACAUCCAAGACCCGGACCAAUACGAAAAAGAUCAUUUUCCAUCAUGACCGGGGAUCGAACCCGGGACCUCUCGGUUCAGGGGCAAGCACUUUACCACUGCGCCACCGAGGUCGUCAAAUAAAUAAAACAAAUCUUCGAACUGCAUGGGUGCGAUGGCAAUUCAAACUAAACCGAGAAGAGAACACCGUUAAUUACACACAAUUUUAUGAAAGUUUCUUGUUCAAAAAUUGCAACCGUCCGAUUGUUUGCGAAGAAAGUGUGAAUUUGUGAGUGACGUGAGGAUUAAUCAUGCUGUCUCAGAAUACGGACGCCGACAAACAAUGCGGAUGACAACAGAAUGACGGCAGGCUAAUGAGGAUGAAGACUUAAAGAGAUUCUUUGUUGAGCCCGAAUUGGUAUUGCAGCCAUAAUUAUGGACACGAUCAAGUUUUCCUUGAGCUAGUAAUUUUUAAUCGCAUUGUUGUGGUUGAACAAAAAUAUGACUCGUAUACCUACCUAAGUAAUAUAAUUGAAAAUAAGAAAUCAAUAAUUUGUAAUUAUUUAUUGAAGGGAGCGAUUGAAUAUUUUAAAUCUACGAAUUAAAGAAGGAGCGGGAGAACAUUUGAAUUUAGAACGCCAUUUCCGACUUCUUUUGUGAUGGCCAGUCACGUGAUUGUUAUGUCUUCCUUCCUUCCAUCAUUUUUAUUUACAUUCUUUCUGACAAAUACAAAGCCCUACAAAUGAAAAUAGUAAUAACAAGGACAAUUGUUAAUUGCCGGCCAUUGUCUAAACUGUAAACAAACAUGCUGAUAGUGAUCGCAACUCCUAAACAUCAUUUGAAUACCAGUAACGGUUGGACGUAGUGACGUUUAUGUUAGGUUGUCUGUCUGUCGGUGUAAAUGAGCUCAAUUCAAUUUAAUACGCUGUUUAGUACUGGUUCCUUUCAAUUAUUAUUUCCUUCGGUAUAUCUAUAUACUAUACAUAUAAAUAAAAAGUGUCAUCACGAAAUGCCAUAAUCUAUUAUCAACUUUCCCCGGGCCUAAUAAAUUACGUAAAAUGCAUAAUAUCAACUACUAGUAAGUAUUAUAAAUUAAAAUAUAUCUCAAUUGAUUCAGAUUCAGAUAUCUGAAUAAAUAAUUUGAUGAAGUGGUAAACCAUUGCCACAGUUCAGCGUGUAUAUUGCUCCAUGUCAACGACUGGUGAUUACAAGACAACGCGACGGACGUAGCCGGAAAGGUUAUCAUUCUGCGCUUGCGACUCGACGAACCAAGUAGCAUAAUGUGCGAAAUUGGAUAAUAUGC